GAUGAAGAACGUAGCGAAAUGCGAUAAGUGAUGUGAAUUGCAGAAUUCAGUGAAUCAUCGAAUCUUUGAACGCACCUUGCGCUCCUUGGUAUUCCAAGGAGCAUGCCUGUUUGAGUAUCAUUAAAUUAUCAACUGUGCCAAUUUGGUUACAGAUUGGAUGUGGGAGAUUCUUUUUGCAGGCCUUUGACUUCUCUUUGAGAAAAAAAAUAAAAGGUCGGCUCUCCUGAAAUGUAUUAGCAGUGCCUUUGUUGGUUCAUUAGGUGUGAUAAAUUGUCUACAUCUUCGCAUGAUACCUUCAUUUGUAAAGGUCAUAUUGCUUCUAAAUUGUCUUUGAUUGGACGCAAAACAUAUAUAAUGUUUGACAAACUUGAUCUCAAAUCAGGCAGGACUACCCGCUGAACUUAAGCAUAUCAAUAAGCGGAGGA
rnacentral:misc_RNA from 1 species